rnacentral:rRNA from 1 species
UACGUAGGGUGCAAGCGUUGUCCGGAAUUAUUGGGCGUAAAGAGCUCGUAGGCGGUUUGUCGCGUCUGCUGUGAAAAUCCAGGGCUUAACCCUGGACCUGCAGUGGGUACGGGCAGACUAGAGUGCGGUAGGGGAGAUCGGAGUUCCUGGUGUAGCGGUGAAAUGCGCAGAUAUCAGGAGGAACACCGGUGGCGAAGGCGGAUCUCUGGGCCGUAACUGACGCUGAGGAGCGAAAGCAUGGGGAGCGAACAGG